GCGCGUGGCGAUAGCACGCCGAAUGUACCAGUUCUCAUGUUUCCAAAAGAUUACUGAAGUUAAGCAACGUUUAGCAUGAUUAGUAUCCGGAUGGGUGAAUAUCUGUAAAAUUGCGCGCUGAAUUUC
rnacentral:rRNA from 1 species